UAAACUUUAUCAGUAGAUGCAUAAAUCCGCCAAUAGUUAUUGAUGACCACAAAUCUAUCGAUAAUUGUUUCUUUGUUAAUAUUUGUUAGUAAUUAUUGAAAAAUUCUAGUCUCCAAUAAUAUUAAUCGAUAAAAUACGUGAUUAGAUUUUCUUCUUCUUCUUCUUCCUCCUGCUCUUUUUCCUUUAGUUUUUCAUCUUCUUCUUCUCCACCUCGUUGCCAUUGGUAAGUGGAGUCACCAUCACUACCUCUAGGUUAUUCUCAUCCUCCUCCUCCUAUUUGACUUCCUUUUUCCUUUUAUGCUUCUUCCACCUCUUUAUUUAACUUCGACAAACACCAUCACCGGUCUCUUCCACCUUUGUGUCACUGUUUCU
rnacentral:lncRNA from 1 species